rnacentral:rRNA from 1 species
AACGAACGCUGGCGGCAGGCUUAACACAUGCAAGUCGAACGGUUGUAGCAAUACAGCAGUGGCAGACGGGUGAGUAACACGUGGGAACCUUCCUAGAGGUACGGAACAACGCAGGGAAACUUGCGCUAAUACCGUAUACGCUCGUGAGAGGAAAGAUUUAUCGCCUUUAGACGGGCCCGCGUCGGAUUAGGUAGUUGGUGGGGUAACGGCCUACCAAGCCGACGAUCCGUAGCUGAUCUGAGAGGAUGAUCAGCCACACUGGGACUGAGACACGGCCCAGACUCCUACGGGAGGCAGCAGUGGGGAAUCUUGGACAAUGGGCGCAAGCCUGAUCCAGCCAUGCCGCGUGAGUGAAGAAGGCCUUAGGGUUGUAAAGCUCUUUUGCCAGGGACGAUAAUGACGGUACCUGGAGAAUAAGCCCCGGCAAACUUCGUGCCAGCCGCCGCAGUAAUAC